CAACAUUUACUGCAUAUAAUCCCUACAGGCAAGAGGAUGAUGUACCUUCUGGUCUUGUUCGGCUAAUGAGCAAUCAUCAUGGACAUCUCUUUAACCAGAGGCCUGGUUCCCAGAAAGGAGAAGCAGAACAGAAAGUUGGAGAGCAAGGUUGGAGAGCAAGGUGCAAGCCAUAACUUGAGGACCAUUUCCAGAAGGUCUGUUCUCCCCAUGACAUCUUUUGUCAUCUCCCUGAGAGACGUGGCUGCUCUUCAAGAUUUGACUGUGUGAAGGAGUGAAGGUGUAGCAGAGAAGGAUUCAGAUGACAGCCUGACACAGUUGUUGACUUGAUUGUGGUGAUAUCCAUAGCCUCCUACUCUGUGCCAUGGAUCCCCUUGCGUCACAGUAUUCCAUCUUUCUAAAGUUCAGAGCAUCACAUGGUUUCUUCUCAUCCGUUUUGCACAUAUCAAAAUGGUCCAAACUUGGAAAAUACAGUGACUCCCCCCCUCCACUAUCUAUCUUCAGCCAUAGUUAUGGUGACCACAGAAUUCAUCUUCAGCCAUCACCAUUGUAUAGCCCCAGUACACAUAUCCAUGUUAAUUUUUUGGCUGUUUCUUAUUCUAAAUUUGACCAAGUAAGGAUCUGGCCCACUGCACAUACUGGGUUGUGGAAACUGAAUAAAAUAUGGUAACAGUGGGGAGGGCACCCAAGGAAGGGCAAAAAUAUAUUUCAUACAAUUCAGCCUGGCAUUUUCAGUAACUCAAAUGAGUUCAUGUGACAGGAGAAGUCACAUGUUGUACUCCUGGUAUCUGCAUGUGAAACUUUAGUCUUAAACAAUUUCACAUGGGGUUCAUCUUUAAUGAAGAGUUCAUUACCUUGCUGACACUUAAUCCACCUUCAUGGAGACCUACUACUACUACUAGUCCCAACUACAGCAGAGCCAUUGAAUUUAUGCAUGUGUGUUCACUCACUAUUCAACAAUUUUUUGAAUGGGUCUGCUCCAGUUGAAACUAGCCAAAAGUAUUCCAGCCAGGACCAUUUCUAAUAUUUUUCCAUUUAAGCAUCUCUGCCUGCUUUCUUUUCUCUUCCCCACGUUACUCCUACAAUAAAUUAAAAUAAAAUUAUGGAGGUGCCUCAUAAAAUAAUCUACAGGGGGAGGAAAUGUGCCAGAGUUUUGGAUUACAGCUUGUCUGCAGAAGACAAAUGACCUAAUACACAGGUUCAGAUAUGUGGGUGAGGCAUGGGCUGCUGUCACACAGCAGAAUUAAUGCAGUUUGACACCGGUUUAACUGUCACGGCUCCAUCGUAUGAAAUGCUGGAAUUUGUAGUUUGUUGUAAUCUAGAAUUAAGUGCAUUAAUGCACAGCUAGUCAAAAAUUCAAGACUCUGGAACUCCCUCCCUAGAGAUUCUAUCCCUGCCUUCCUUUUGGUGGCAGCUAAAAAUAUUUUUGUGCCAUCAGGCUUUUUCAAACUGACAUGGUGGGCUUUAAAUGCUGUUUAUAUUUUAAGGUUUGUACUGAGUUUUUAACAUAUUUUACAUUUUAAAGUCUAGCUGUUUUAACUUUUAAAAUUGUUUAAUAGUUUUUAAAUUUUAUAUUUACACAUUUUAAUGCUUUUGUGUUGUUUUAAAAUUGUUUUGUUUUAAAUUUGAUGUUCGCUGCUUGAGUCCCUGUAGUGGGAGAAGGGUGGGAUAUAAGUGAAUUAAAUAAAUACAUAAAUAAAUGCUUUCACUUUUGACUUAACCACAUUUCCCUGACUCAUCCAGACUCAUGGAAUGGUUGCUUGUUCCAACUCUGAUAUCUUAAUAAGCCAGGAUAUCAAACCAUGAUCUUCUGGCAUCCUGGUUUUUUUUAACCAACUAUAUUUGUGGGGAAAAGUGAGAAAUCCUGAUUCAUUCAAAAGCAAGGGUAGAAAGUUUUGAUUUCUUUUUGUAUACAAAAAGGAAAAAGAGGGGAAGGGAAAGAUAAACCCAAGGUUUGCAAAGGCCCAUAUUGUAGUGAUGAACUAUGCUUUGUUGUUACAGUUUGAAGCCGGCCAAUGCAUCUUUUGCGAGAAUUGCAUGUUACUACGGCAAACAUAUAUUUUAGUUUUGUGUUUGCACAGAGAAUGAGAGCACAGUGGCAGGGAUCAAAGGGGUGUUUAAUCCUUCCCAUGGAGGAAAAUGAUGACAAACAUCCACAGGAGAGAGAAGUGGUAGGAAGCAGCUAAGCAAACUAUUUCUGCCCUCCAAUUCUUUUCUACAAAUACCUUCCAGAUUAGCAGUAUGAGGCAAAUACUAGAAUAAAAAGCCUAGAUUUUAUUAUGGCUAUGCAACACUACACUAGGAAAUAUUUUAUCCAUGCGCUAGCUAGCUGGAUGUUGUGAUACCUUCAAAAGAUACCUAUGUUGAAUGAGUUUUAUUGACAUUUG